rnacentral:rRNA from 1 species
UACGUAGGGUGCAAGCGUUAAUCGGAAUUACUGGGCGUAAAGGGUGCGCAGGCGGUUUUGUAAGUCAGCUGUGAAAUCCCCGGGCUCAACCUGGGAAUGGCAGAUGAGACUGCAAGGCUAGAGUGUGUCAGAGGGGGGUAGAAUUCCACGUGUAGCAGUGAAAUGCGUAGAGAUGUGGAGGAAUACCGAUGGCGAAGGCAGCCCCCUGGGAUAACACUGACGCUCAGGCACGAAAGCGUGGGGAGCAAACAGG